rnacentral:rRNA from 1 species
AUUGAACGCUGGCGGCAUGCUUUACACAUGCAAGUCGAACGGCAGCGCGGUCUUCUGCCUGGCGUCUAGUGGCGAACGGGUGAGUAAGACAGCGGAACGUGCCCAGUAGUUUGGGAUAGCUCGGCGAAAGCCGGAUUAAUACCGCAUACGACCUUAGGGUGAAAGCGUGGGAGCUUCGGACCUCGCGCAAUUGGAUCGGCCGAUGGCAGAUUGGCUAGUUGGUGGGGUAAAGGGAUACCAAGGCGACGAUCUGUGGCUGGGCUGAGUGGAGGACCAGCCACACUGGAAUGGAGACACGGCCCAGACCAAUCUGGGAGGCAGCGGUGGGGAAUGUUGGACAAUGGGAGAAGGCCUGGUCCAAAAAUGCCGAGUGUGUGAUGAAGGCAUUCGGGUUGUAAAGCACAUCUGGUGGGAAAGAAAAGGACUGUGAAAAUAGCAUGGUUGGAUGAAGGUACCAGAAGAAUAAGCACCGGCUAACUACGUG